rnacentral:rRNA from 1 species
GGGUUGUGAGGUUAAGCGAAUAAGCGUACACGGUGGAUGCCUAGGCAAUCAGAGGCGAUGAAGGACGUGCUAAUCUGCGAAAAGCGUCGGUAAGGUGAUAUGAACCGUUAUACCCGACGAUAUCCGAAUGGGGAAACCCAGUAUCCAAUGGAUACUAUCAUUAACUGAAUCCAUAGGUUAAUGAGGCGAACCGGGAGAACUGAAACAUCUCAGUACCCCGAGGAAAAGAAAUCAACCGAGAUUCCCCUAGUAGCGGCGAGCGAACGGGGAGCAGCCCAGAGUCUUAAUCAAUAGCAGUGUCAGGAGAACGGUCUGGAAAGUCCGGCAGUAAAGGGUGAUAGCCCCGUAUCUGAAGAUGCUGUUAUUGUGAACUCGACGAGUAGGGCGGGACACGUGUUAUCCUGUCUGAAUAUGGGGGACCAUCCUCCAAGGCUAAAUACUCCUGAUUGACCGAUAGUGAACCAGUACCGUGAGGGAAAGGCGAAAAGAACCCCGGCGAGGGGAGUGAAAAAGAACCUGAAACCGUGUACGUACAAGCAGUAGGAGCCUCUUUAUGGGGUGACUGCGUACCUUUUGUAUAAUGGGUCAGCGACUUAUAUUCUGUAGCAAGGUUAACCGUAUAGGGGAGCCGUAGGGAAACCGAGUCUUAACUGGGCGAAUGAGUUGCAGGGUAUAGACCCGAAACCCGGUGAUCUAUCCAUGGGCAGGUUGAAGGUUGGGUAACACUAACUGGAGGACCGAACCGACUAAUGUUGAAAAAUUAGCGGAUGACUUGUGGAUGGGGGUGAAAGGCCAAUCAAACCGGGAGAUAGCUGGUUCUCCCCGAAAGCUAUUUAGGUAGCGCCUCGUGAACUCAUCUUCGGGGUAGAGCACUGUUUCGACUAGGGGGUCAUCCCGACUUACCAACUCGAUGCAAACUGCGAAUACCGAAGAAUGUUAUCACGGGAGACACACGGCGGGUGCUAACGUCCGUCGUGAAGAGGGAAACAACCCAGACCGCCAGCUAAGGUCCCAAAGUCAUGGUUAAGUGGGAAACGAAGUGGGAAGGCUCAGACAGCCAGGAUGUUGGCUUAGAAGCAGCCAUCAUUUAAAGAAAGCGUAAUAGCUCACUGGUCGAGUCGGCCCGCGCGGAAGAUGUAACGGGGCUAAACCAUGCACCGAAGCUGCGGCAGCGACACAAAGUGUUGUUGGGUAGGGGAGCGUUCUGUAAGCCUGCGAAGGUGUACUGUGAGGUAUGCUGGAGGUAUCAGAAGUGCGAAUGCUGACAUAAGUAACGAUAAUGCGGGUGAAAAACCCGCACGCCGGAAGACCAAGGGUUCCUGUCCAACGUUAAUCGGGGCAGGGUGAGUCGACCCCUAAGGCGAGGCUGAAAAGCGUAGUCGAUGGGAAACGGGUUAAUAUUCCCGUACUGGUGGUAACUGCGAUGGGGGAACGGAGAAGGCUAGGUUGUCCGGGCGACGGUCGUCCCGGUUCAAGCAGGUAGGCAGAGUGAUUAGGCAAAUCCGGUCACUUAAUGCUGAGAUGUGAUGACGAACCACUAAGGUGGUGAAGCAAUUGAUGCCCCGCUUCCAGGAAAAGCCUCUAAGCUUCAGGUUACCAACAAUCGUACCCCAAACCGACACAGGUGGUCAGGUAGAGAAUACUCAGGCGCUUGAGAGAACUCGGGUGAAGGAACUAGGCAAAAUGGUGCCGUAACUUCGGGAGAAGGCACGCUGGCGGUAGGUAAAGUCCCUCGCGGACGGCGCUGAAGCCAGUCGAAGAUACCAGCUGGCUGCAACUGUUUAUUAAAAACACAGCACUGUGCAAACACGAAAGUGGACGUAUACGGUGUGACGCCUGCCCGGUGCUGGAAGGUUAAUUGAUGGGGUUAGCGCAAGCGAAGCUCCUGAUCGAAGCCCCAGUAAACGGCGGCCGUAACUAUAACGGUCCUAAGGUAGCGAAAUUCCUUGUCGGGUAAGUUCCGACCUGCACGAAUGGCGUAAUGAUGGCCAGGCUGUCUCCACCCGAGACUCAGUGAAAUUGAACUCGCUGUGAAGAUGCAGUGUACCCGCGGCAAGACGGAAAGACCCCGUGAACCUUUACUAUAGCUUGACACUGAACAUUGAGCCUUGAUGUGUAGGAUAGGUGGGAGGCUUUGAAGUGUGGACGCCAGUCUGCAUGGAGCCAACCUUGAAAUACCACCCUUUAACGUUUGAUGUUCUAACCUAGGCCCAUAAACUGGGUCGGGGACCGUGUCUGGUGGGUAGUUUGACUGGGGCGGUCUCCUCCUAAAGAGUAACGGAGGAGCACGAAGGUUGGCUAAGCAUGGUCGGACAUCAUGCGGUUAGUGCAAAGGCAUAAGCCAGCUUGACUGCGAGAGUGACGGCUCGAGCAGGUACGAAAGUAGGUCUUAGUGAUCCGGUGGUUCUGAAUGGAAGGGCCAUCGCUCAACGGAUAAAAGGUACUCCGGGGAUAACAGGCUGAUACCGCCCAAGAGUUCAUAUCGACGGCGGUGUUUGGCACCUCGAUGUCGGCUCAUCACAUCCUGGGGCUGAAGUAGGUCCCAAGGGUAUGGCUGUUCGCCAUUUAAAGUGGUACGCGAGCUGGGUUUAGAACGUCGUGAGACAGUUCGGUCCCUAUCUGCCGUGGGCGUUGGAAGAUUGAGAGGGGUUGCUCCUAGUACGAGAGGACCGGAGUGAACGCACCACUGGUGUUCGGGUUGUCAUGCCAAUGGCAUUGCCCGGUAGCUAAGUGCGGAAGAGAUAACCGCUGAAAGCAUCUAAGCGGGAAACUUGCCUCGAGAUGAGUCUUCCCUGUCGCUUUAAGCGACCUAAAGGAACGUUUAAGACUAAGACGUUGAUAGGCUGGGUGUGUAAGCGUAGCGAUACGUUGAGCUAACCAGUACUAAUGAACCGUGAGGCUUAACCUGACAACACCGAAAGUGUUUUG